GCCCUCGUUGUCUAAUGGCUAUGACGUCAGACUUCUACGCGAGGGUUAAUCUGGAGGUUGUGGGUUCGAGUCCCACCGGGGGUA
rnacentral:tRNA from 1 species